rnacentral:rRNA from 1 species
AGAAGUGCGAAUGCUGACAUGAGUAACGAUAAAGGGGGUGAAAAACCCCCUCGCCAGAAGUCCAAGGUUUCCUACGCAACGUUAAUCGGCGUAGGGUUAGUCGGCCCCUAAGGCGAGGCAGAAAUGCGUAGUCGAUGGGAAACGGGUUAAUAUUCCCGUACUUCAUAUAACUGCGAUGGGAAGACGGAGUAGGUUAGCUCAGCAAGGCGAUGGUUGUCCUUGUUCAAGCGUGUAGAAAUGGUUCUUAGGAAAAUCCGGGAACCUCUAUUUCAAGGCGUGAUAACGAGCCCUCUUUUGGGCGAAGUGAGUGAGACCAUGCUUCCAGGAAAAUCCUCUAAGCUUCAGGUUAUAUGAAACCGUACCCCAAACCGACACAGGUGGACGAGAUGAGAAUUCUAAGGCGCUUGAGAGAACUCGGGUGAAGGAACUAGGCAAAAUGACACCGUAACUUCGGGAGAAGGUGUGCUCUUGUUAUGUGAUAUCACUUGCUGAUUGAGCAAAGAAGAGCUGAAAAAACUAGGUGGCUGCGACUGUUUAUUAAAAACACAGCACUCUGCAAACACGUAAGUGGACGUAUAGGGUGUGACUCCUGCCCGGUGCUUGAAGGUUAAUUGAUGAGGUUAGCGCUUGCGCGAAGCUUUUGAUCGAAGCCCAAGUAAACGGCGGCCGUAACUAUAACGGUCCUAAGGUAGCGAAAUUCCUUGUCGGGUAAGUUCCGACCUGCACGAAUGGAGUAACGACGGCCACACUGUCUCCACCCGAGACUCAGUGAAAUUGAAAUUGCUGUUAAGAUGCAGUAUACCCGCGGCCAGACGGAAAGACCCCGUGCACCUUUACUACAGCUUUGCAUUGAACUCUGAUUCUACUUGUGUAGGAUAGGUGGGAGGCUUUGAAGCUUUAACGCUAGUUAGAGUGGAGCCACCCUUGAAAUACCACCCUGGUAUGGUUGGGGUUCUAACCUUGGUCCGUAAUCCGGAUCGGGGACAAUGCAUGGUGGGUAGUUUGACUGGGGCGGUCUCCUCCUAAAGAGUAACGGAGGAGCGCAAAGGUAUCCUCAGCACGGUCGGACAUCGUGCAAUGAGCGCAAAGGUAAAAGGAUGCUUGACUGCGAGACUGACACGUCGAGCAGGUAGGAAACUAGGUCUUAGUGAUCCGGUGGUUCUGAGUGGAAGGACCAUCGCUCAACGGAUAAAAGGUACGCCGGGGAUAACAGGCUGAUACCCCCCAAGAGUUCACAUCGACGGGGGUGUUUGGCACCUCGAUGUCGGCUCAUCACAUCCUGGGGCUGAAGCAGGUCCCAAGGGUAUGGCUGUUCGCCAUUUAAAGUGGUACGCGAGCUGGGUUUAGAACGUCGUGAGACAGUUCGGUCCCUAUCUACCGUGGGCGUUGGAGACUUGAGGGAAGCUGUUCUUAGUACGAGAGGACCGGAAUGGACACACCUCUGGUGUUUCGGUUGUCACGCCAGUGGCAUUGCCGAGUAGCUAUGUGUGGAAAGGAUAACCGCUGAAAGCAUCUAAGCGGGAAGCCCCUCCCAAGAUUAGGUCUCCCUGAUUAUUUAAUAAUCCUAAAGAUCCCUCGAAGACUACGAGGUUGAUAGGCUAGGUGUGAAAGUGCAGCAAUGUAUUGAGCUAACUAGUACUAAUUGAUCGUGAGGCUUGACC